ACUGAUUUAUUUAAUGGCCGCGGUAUUUUGACCGUGCAAAGGUAGCAUAAUAAUUUGUCUUUUAAUUGAAGGCUUGUAUGAAUGGUUGGACGAGAAAAUUACUUUCUUUAUAAUAUAAUUAUAAAUUUUAUUUUUUAGUUAAAAAGCUAAAAUUUUAUUGUAGGACGAGAAGACCCUAUAGAACUUUAUAUUUAUUUUUAUAUUAAUAUUUUUGGUUAAUUAUAUAUUAUAUUUUUAUAAAUAUUUUGUUGGGGCGACAAGAAAAUUUAUUUAACUUUUUUUUAUUAAUUUCAUUAAUUAAUGUAUAAAUGAUCCUUUAUUAAGGAUAAUUAGAAUAAGUUACCUUAGGGAUAACAGCGUAAUUUUUUUGGAGAGUUCUUAUCGAUAAAAAAGUUUG
rnacentral:rRNA from 1 species